UCUAGAGUUGAAGGGUGCAGUUUGCAGG
rnacentral:sRNA from 1 species